CGACAGCAUAUGAAGGUCAGGCUGAAGACCUUACCCGAUUAGCUGAGAGGUGGUGCAUGGCCGUCGUCAGUUCGUACUGUGAAGCAUCCUGUUAAGUCAGGCAACGAGCGAGACCCACGUCCACAGUUGCCAGCAUACCCUCCGGGGUGAUGGGUACACUGUGGAGACCGCCGCUGCUAAAGCGGAGGAAGGAGUGGGCAACGGUAGGUCAGUAUGCCCCGAAUCUCCCGGGCUACACGCGGGCUACAAUGGUUGGUACAAUGGGCAUCUACCCCGAAAGGGGAAGGAAAUCUCUUAAAGCCAAUCGUAGUUCGGAUUGAGGGCUGCAACUCGCCCUCAUGAAGCUGGAAUCCGUAGUAAUCGCGUUUCAACAGAACGCGGUGAAUACGUCCCUGCUCCUU
rnacentral:rRNA from 1 species